rnacentral:misc_RNA from 2 species
CCCAACUAUCCCUAUUAAUCAUUACAACGGUCCUAGAAACCAACAAAAUAGAAACGUUGUCCUAUUCUAUUAUUCCAUGCUAAUGUAUUCCGGCAUAAGCCUGCUUUAAACACUCUAAUUUUUUCAAGGUAAAGGUCUUGGCUACUCGCAACACCCAAUAAAGGGCAUUACGCAUGACCAAGCGAUGAGGCCCGACCGCCCAGUACUCGUUACAAGAACGGACCAAACGGCCGAACCCAAAAUUCAACUACGAGCUUUUUAACUGCAACAACUUUAAUAUACGCUAUUGGAGCUGGAAUUACCGCGGCUGCUGGCACCAGACUUGCCCUCCAA